UCCAGCUCCAUCUCCAGGACCUGCUGCUCCAGUUCCCCCAUCUUGGCCUUUUUCCUGUCUCUGGCUGUCUGAGCUGCGACCCUGUUCUUCAGCUUCCUGCAGGGACAGACACACAGACGAAGGGUUAAAAGACAGACAGCAGAAAGAGGAAUUCAAACCCACACCCCGGGAGCCAUGUUGGUGCCACGCAGGCAGUCCCGCAGAGGCUGCUGGGCCGGGCGGGUUCACCCGGUGCACCCGGUCCUGAUAGCGGGUCCACGGGAUCAAGGUACACGGACCCGGAGACAUUAUCGGGACAUUAACACGAACUCAAAGAUUCGAUCCACAUUGUCCCCGGAGAGGAUCGAUGUCUUAGGGCGUGUCCCCCGGAGCUGAUUCCCGGAACAAUGGCGGUAUCCCUUCCCCCUGAUAUGUCCCCGGUAAAGACGUCGUGUUUUUGGGACUCAAACUGACCUGCGAAGCGCCUUCUCCUCCGGGGACAGGUGGGUGAGUCUCUGCCUCUUCCGGACCGGAGGCCCCGCGGACGAGUUGGACUCCGAGUCCGAGGAGGACGCGGGGCUGGAGGCCGGGAGGACGAGGGACAGCGGCCGGCUGUAGCUCGGCUUCCCGGAGAUCAGGAGCACUUUGUGGGUCGCCCCGGCUGCCACGACCACCAUGAUGGAUCCGGUAGAGAAGCUGCGUGGAGAAGAAGUGACCGGUGAUCCGGGUUUAGUUCAGCCGGAUCCUGUGUGUGUUUCUCCGGGUGCGAUGAUCCUCGGGUCCCGGUGACUCUCAGCUGCCGGACGAGGGGCGGAGGCCAGCGUUUUCUACUAUCGUGGGAAAGCCUGAUUGGCUGGUGGUGGCUCUGACGUCAAAGCUUUGCUGCCUGUGAUUGGUCGACCUGCUGAUGUAAUUUGCAUUUAAAGUUGCACUUGGUUCCUGGUAAACUUCAUUUCCCAUCAUCA